AUUCACAAUCUUUCUCAUCAGCCGAACUACAACAUUAUAGUACUAAACAUAAGCAGAAUGAUUAUAACUAGAGAGUAUGCUUAUGAUUUAUAUGUGGUUUACAGGUAUAAACUAUUAUAAAUUGGCCGUUGCGAAAGAUCGUGACUCUAUUUUUACGAUGUUAUCGGCGAUAUGGCAAAUCGGAAAUGGAUGACAUGGAAACCUAUAUCUAUAUACAAUUUUUAGUUCGGAGACGGAGUCUGUCUGACCAGUGACCACGGUCCGAUAUUCAACAAUGUCAAUGAAUUCAAAUUGCUUGUUGACGGAAAUAAAUAUUGUUCACGAAUUGAGUUCAAAACAGCUAACCAAUCCAUGCAUAGCCAAUUCAAGGUCAACGUCACGCAGCGCAUAUCCCUCGCUUUAUUUAACAAUUAUAUUCGCCGAAGGCGAGGUGAUUAUCUGUGAAUAAAAACCGAGACGAAGUCGAGGUUUUUAUUCACGAUAAUCACUGAGCCUGAGGUGAAUAAUUGUUUUGUAUAAUUCAUAGGUGCAUGUUUAUUUGGAAAAAAAAUAAAAAAUAUACAAGUCUUCGUCAUUUAAUUGGCAAAACGGCUUCAGCCAUAAUUUCCAAAAUCGCUUAGGUGAUUAUCGCGUUAUAAUGAUCUCAACGGCAACCAAUCAGAGUAGAGAAUUUCAAUUUGUGCUUUGAAUAAAAGUCUUUGUCCCUUGAAAAGGUUUGCACUCUGCACUUUGAACUAAAUUGUAGUUUGUUAGUUUUUUCAAAGAAACUUGCCUUCAAUAAUUGCUUUUUUGGUAAAUAUUCCAGGAUUUUUUACAUGCACUUGACAAACUUUUCACUGCAUUUAAUUUUAACUUAAGCAUGGAUUAUGGCCUGUCUUAUAAUUUAUUUGUUCCAAAAUUAUUAUACUUCUUGGUUACCUAUCAACGUUAUCCUAUAUAAUAACAGUCUAUUUCAGCAUGAUUUUUGAUAGGCCGGUUAUUAAUUCCAGGUUGACCAGAAAAAUUUUAAAGCGGCUUAUACUAUAACAGACUCAACAAUGUCUCAUUCACAGCAUAGUCAUCAAGAUUUGAUGAUCUGGAAACUUAACAGAAGUGUUUGUUAUUUGUUUUGUCUGAAUUUAUGUUAAUUUGUGCGCGGUCACGGUGUAUAUGCGGAUAGCGUUCAUUGUAUUUUCGCAUAUAUACACACGCAAAAAUCUCACAUCAUGUAGCAAGUCUGCCAACAAGUUGUCUUUACACUGCUUGUCACAAGUUGUCAACAAGUUUGCAUGGAACAAGCUGUUAACAAUUUGUAACAACCUUGUUGAUAUUAUCAGGCUUGUUACAAGGUUGUUCUAACAAGUCCGAACAGUCAUGAUAUAGAAGUAUUGUUAUCACCUUGUGUCGUCAACCUUGUAACAUUCUUGUUUAUCAUGCAGUACUGCAUGUAUCAGACUUGUUAGAACAACUUUGUGACAAGUCUGAUAAUGCCAUCAAAGCUUGUUACAAAGCUUGUUACAGCUUGUUCCAAACUUGUUACAACAACUGGGAACAAGCAGUGCGAAAACAAGUUGUUGACAGCUUGUGAACAGAUUUGUAACAACUUGUUUGCAGACUUGUUACAACUUGUGCGUUUUUACGUGUGUAAUUAAAUUAAGUAACCGUACCAUCCAAUAGGGAUCGAUAGCUGAGAUGAAACUUGCAGCCACGAUAAUAACAUUUGAUGAAGUUGAGACAAAAGAUUUGUGCACGGUGAGAUACAGUUCAACAUCAAACAAAGGUCUUCUAUUUUGUGGCUUUGAAGUUUGCUGGGAUUCCAGAGCAUCAUAUCUUAAUAGACCUUGUUCACAGCGGCGAUUUAAUCAAUCCGAAAUUGAUUCGGAGCAGUUUCGGGCCAAGUUGUGGACAACUAGAAAGGAGUCCGAUUUUAGAUCGAUCUAAACUAGAGCGCUUCUCAGAUCGGUUAAUGUUUUACAACCGAGCUAUAAUUUCUUGCUCAGCUAGCAUGGUUAAUUCGCCGGUUAAUUCAUUCAAGUUUUUAAAUUAAGAAGUCCAAGGCCGAACCGGCCUCGGACCGGUUUGAAAUCGCUAGGUGUGAACGUCCUCUCAUUUGACAGAUUGAACUUUGGGCCUAAACGCACAUAUCGAAAGUGUGGCCAAUCAUGACGUGGUGUUUGCUAGAAACACGAAGUCGAAUCGUAUGCAAUUAUAUCGAUCACAAUGCGUGAACCCGGCUGUGAAAAAAGUAUACUAAAAACUUUGACACUGACAUUGAUAGUAUAAAAAGGCCGUUUCACCAGUUUCCGUUGGUAGGCCUGCAAAAUACAAGGACAAAUUCGACGUUUCGAGCGAAUUAGGCCCUUCGUAACUUCCCGGCGGCAAAGUCGAAGGGCCUUUGCUCGAACUGUCGAAUUUCUCCUUCUCCUUGUCCUUGUAUAUUUUUAGAUAAUUGCAUACCUACCGUACGAAAGUUUUGUUAUUAUUGUCAUUUUACCUACACUGGCACAAACCGUUAAGAUUACUAAAAGUAAGAAUACCCUAUCGCUGAAAUUAAUAAUUUAAAUUCGUCCAAUAAUGCAAUAAUUUUACUUUUCUUCAGCAGAUUUUUCUUGUUGAAGCAUGUCAUAUCCUUG
rnacentral:lncRNA from 1 species